rnacentral:misc_RNA from 1 species
CUCCCCCCCCCUCUUUGCAUGGACAUGGAUAGGCAGUGAGAAAAAUACAUGGAUUGUUUGAGUAGUUGCAACUCGAAGCGAUGCUAUCCAAGCCACCCAAAGAUGGUGCACCCGAAUCUGGAGAUAUUUAAGCACAAUCCCCGAAUCAUGAUUAUUAAGUUAAUAAAUAGAGAGGCAAUCUGCCACCUUCAUACCACAGAAGUGCUCAACACUUGUCGAAUGGAUGGCAUAAAAACAGAACCUAGAGGUGAUUAGAUAGAAAUGACAAACACAAAGGGAUGGGAAAAGGGCAAAAGAUGGAAGAACCACCUACCCCUAUCCGGCUAUCCCACAGUAGCCAACGAGCCCAGAAACAUCUCAAGCAUACAUGUGACGUAAAGAAAGUACCUAUGAAUCUUUGCCCCACCUUUUCCACCUCCACUCUGCUUGCCGUCACCUGCACUACCAUGCCUAUCCCUCAGCUCCAUAAUCAUGAACAACUACUCACCUCCACAAGUGUCUUCCACGCCUACAGCUACCUCAUCUCCAACGCAAUCUGGGGGAUUCGGCAGCAGCAAGGGAAGAGCUGUCACCACAGUGGCAAUGCCCCUAGCACAGCCUUGACAUGCCACAUA